CGUCAAAUCAUCAUGCCCCUUAUGUCCUGGGCUACACACGUGCUACAAUGGCCUGUACAGAGGGUUGCGAAGCCGUGAGGUGGAGCUAAUCCCAAAAAGCAGGUCUCAGUUCGGAUUGUAGGCUGCAACUCGCCUACAUGAAGUCGGAGUCGCUAGUAAUCGCAGGUCAGCAUACUGCGGUGAAUACGUUCCCGGGCCUU
rnacentral:rRNA from 1 species